CUCACAGCUUAUUAGUUAUCAUUAGUAAAGAUGUGGAACAGACGCAGCCAGAUUUUUUGCUGCAAACAUCACGGACAGAUUUAGCAUGAAACCGAACCCGAGCGCUCUAAGGAGACGCAUUCGUAAUGGCAGGUGUGAACAGCUGUGCAUCUCGGCUGUCAAUGUGAAAUCAGAUCACUCAAGACUGAUGUUAACGUCAGGUGUGAACGGAUCCUAAGGGACAGUAUUUGCAGUUCCCGUUUGCAACUCACUUUGGAGCUUCAAAGAAUCAAUCUGCGUCCUCAAAGAAGAAGAAGAAGAAGAAGGAGUGCACUUCAAGAACCCGGAUGAUGCACUUAAUCAACCGAAAAAACAAAGCGUGGGCAUGAAUGUCGGAGCAGAAAGGGGGCGGAGCUACCAGGCACUGACGCUACGGGGGACAAAAGAUCAAUUUAACGUGAAUUCGUUCAAUUUAUUCAGUGCUCAUUGCUGAUUUUUUAAAUGCACGUAUUUACUUUACUUUGUUUCUUUCAUUAUAUUUUUGUCCUGUGUUUAUUUUAUUCCUUUUUUUUUCAUCUAAUUUUCUUGCAAACUAGUUGAAUCUCUUUAAUCAUGCUUUAUUUAUCUUUUCCUGGCUUUCAUAUUGCUCUGAAAAAGCUUUGUAACUUGUGUUUUUUUAACUACAUAAACAUUAUUAUUAUUAUUAUUAUUAUUAUUAUUAUUAUUAUUAUUAUCAUUAUUAUGGAGUGAACAAGGAUGAAAGGACUGGUGAGACAGAAAAACAACCUGACAUUUGAACGCAGGGAGAAAAAGAAGAUCACAGCAUAGUACCUUUUCCAUUUUGUGUCUCUCAGAUAAAAUCACAGAGAAAAAGCAUUUCAGAAGCUCUACAAACACAAAAGUCUGGGUUUUUUCUUUUUUUUUUCCUUCUGAAGUGGUUCAUCUUUACAUUAUAAUGACACGCGGUGGUGUUUAUAACAUGUCCGGGCUUUUGUAGGAACAUCUCUCCGAUCGGCGAGCUUGCUAAAUAGAUCAAAUAAAUAAAUAAAUAAAUAAACAGCGUAAAGCAGAGAACGGGGGGUGCGGGGGGGAUGGAAAUCAGGCAGGAAAAUGAGGGUCGAAUGAGAGAGCAGGAAGGCACCGUCAGGACGAAUCAAAGAGCAAUCAGGCUCCGUAAGAAGUGCGCGAGAGAACAAUGGCAAGCCGUGAUUAGCGAGAGCGAUGAGAAACGCGUGAUUGCGAGAGAGGUGUGUGUCAGUUAUCCAAUCACUUAGCAUUUUCUUUUCUUUUUUUUUCUCUCCGCAGGUAUUUGAGGGAAGCAGGAUGAGGGUAUGGAUCAGGGAACGACGAGUGCGUUCAGGAAAAUUGAACCGGUAGCGAUUUUACACACCGUUUUACACGCCGUCACGUCGACGGUCGGAAAAUCCACGUCUUCGAGAGUCGAGCCCAGGAACAGGAACGGCUUCCGUCACAUGGGGAAUCUUCAGGAAAAGCAGCACAGUGUGUUCUUACUGACACACAGCUCUCUCUUACAGCAGAAGAGCUUCUGGAACUUUCUCUCACGUUGUUAUUAUCAUCAUCGAAACUGACGAAUCAAAUCGACAAUCGUGACAGUUUUCUUCCCUGGGGAAUCACACACUCGUGCAUCGUUGCCGUCUUAAAACAUUUUGAACCCUUAACAGUCUCUCUGAAAGAACAUUUAAAGAUUCCCCUCAUCGAAAAUCCUUUUUAGGAAGCUACAAAACUCUUAACUGUCCCUCAUCAGCCAAUCACAAACAUGAGCUAACCUUUUAUGUGCUUUUUUUUAUGUGGAAAACUACUUGAAUUGGCGAGUCACGGUGAUGUUUGUUGGUAAAUGAGACCUUGUAGCUGUACUCAUGAAUCAAAGAGUGCUUUGGAUGGAUGCGCAUCGCGAUGAUGUCACAUGGUGCGUCUCGACCCAAAUCUGCAGAAAAUCUGCACUAGUUUAAAAAAAAACAAACAAACAAAAAAAAAAAACGCAAGCUCCUUCGAACAUUGCGGCGGUUCUGUGAUUUUGCUUCAACGUCUUCGAUCGUAAAAUCCUGCUGGGACCGACUAACGAUGUUCGCUUGCUAGCUAGCAUAGAUUAGGCUAACUAUUACAUCCUGUAAUUAAACCUACUAGUUUAGUGUUUGCUAGUAGACUAGCUUGUCAUUGAAACAUUAAACAAUAGUACUAUUUCAUGCUAACUAGUGGUUGAGUGGACGAAAGAAAGACUAGCAGUGAUGUCAGACGAUCCAAGCUGUGAUUGGCUGCUCAAAUUUCCUCUAAGUCUUUGAAAUAGAAAUAGAAAUGACAGUUUCUAUUAAUUAAAGAUCAUCAUAGUUUUUAUCUGUUUAUAGUUUCAUUGAAUGUUCUGUGAAACAGGUCUGUUCUUGUUCUCACUUACAUUAAAGCAGCUGUAAACUGCCGUUCCCUCACCAGCCUCUCUUUUUUGUCUCUCUUAAAGUUAAUAAGACAAAAAAAAAAAAACACUAAAAGAAAAACGGUUAUUAGACGGUUACUAUAGAAACGAUAACGCGUUAGAACGAGCGCAUUAAUAUAAACCUGUGAUUUGAAGCUGUGCUGCUGUCAGAGCUGCCGUUAUAGGAAAUGAAUCAACAGCUUCUGUCCAAUCACGAUCCAGAAUUCCACAGCGUUGUGGUGUAAUGAGAACUUAACUCAGUUUUAGACUCAGAAAUGAGCAUAAAUUCAGGAGAAACACAGCGGCGUGGCUGGAUUUCACUCGUUAGGCAUUACGUGGCAGAUAAGUGGAGCUGAUGAAAUAUCUCAGAGAUAAGAACGGACAUUAAUGGGGCGGCGGCGUGGAGGCGAAGACUCAGAGCCGAUUUAUUUCAGAAACUUUUUAAAUGUUUUUUUUUCUCUUUUGAACACAGAGCGUAUUAAGGAGACCACGUGUGCAGAAAUAGACGUGAAGUCUUUGAUUUUGUUUCCACUUCAAUCGUAAUGGAAUCUCAUCGGCGUUUCUCCUGUCUGCGUAUGCGGGUCUUAACUGAUCCCAGCACUCUGAUGAAUUCCGUAUUUACUCCUCCGGAGACGUUCCUCGGAGAGACGGAACACAUGCCUCAUUAUUCUACAGCACCGUGCUGCCGGAAUGGGAAAAAAAUAAAAUCAUCCACAGCCGGGUUUGAAGAGCUCUUCUCUGUGAUUAGGACACGAUAUGUUUUUAUAUUUUUCAGCUUAUUACACAGGAGUCAUGCAUCAUUAUUUUAAUUAUCGUUACUGAUGAAGUGUGUGAAUGAUGUUAGAAAUGUUGUGACUCUGCUGACAUCUAUAUUUAUAUUUAUUCAUCUUUUUUUCUCUUUAUUUUAUUUUUCUGUGAUUGUAUUUAUUGUAUUUUUUCAUUUUUCUUCAUUUCCCUUUUAUUCCUUGUGUGAGUGUUCUAUCUAUCUAUCUAUCUGUAUGUCUGUCUGUCUAUGUUUAUCUGUUUGUCAAUCUAUUUGUCUAUCUGCCAUCAUCAAUAUCUGUCUUUCUAUCUGUUUGCCUGUGUUUGUCUGUUUACAUAUCUAUCUAUCUAUCUAUCUAUCUAUCUAUAUGUUUAUCUAUCUGCCAAUAAAUCUGUCUUUCUAUUUAUCUGUCUUUCUGUCUGUCUGUCUGUCUAUCUGUCUGACUAUUUAUCUAUCUGUCUGUCUGUUUAUCUGUCUGCCUGUCUAUGUAUCUAUCUAUAGAUUAUAAUAAUAAGAAUAAGAAUAAGGAUAAUUAUUAUUAUUAUUGCUAAAUCCCUCCUGCUCUAAAUACAUCAGCAUGUGUAAAUAAACAGAUUAAAAUCAUCACAAAACAUGAAUGUACAGAAAUUCUACUUAAGUUUGUGUGGCCAAUUAUGAACUGCUUAUAAACACUGCCUAUAAACACUGCCUAUACACACUGCCUAUACACACUGCCUAUACACACUGCCUAUACACACUGCUUAGAAACACUGCCUAUACACACUGCUUAGAAACACUGCCUAUACACACUGCCUAGAAACUCUGCCUAUACACACUGCUUAUAAACACUGCCUAUACACACUGCUUAGAAACACUGCCUAUACACACUGCCUAGAAACACUGCUUAUACACACUGCUUAGAAACACUGCCUAUACACACUACCUAUACACACUGCUUAUAAACACUGCCUAUACACAUUGCUUAGAAACACUGCCUACACACACUGCUUAUAAACACUGCCUAUAAACACUGCCUAUACACACUGCUUAGAAACACUGCCUACACACACUGCCUAUACACACUGCUUAGAAACACUGCCUAUACACACUGCCUAUACACACUGCUUAGA